GGGUUGUGAGGUUAAGCGACUAAGCGUACACGGUGGAUGCCCUGGCAGUCAGAGGCGAUGAAGGGCGUGCUAAUCUGCGAUAAGCGCCGGUAAGGUGAUAUGAACCGUUAUAACCGGCGAUACCCGAAUGGGGAAACCCAGUGUGACUCGUCACACUAUCAUUAACUGAAUCCAUAGGUUAAUGAGGCGAACCGGGGGAACUGAAACAUCUAAGUACCCCGAGGAAAAGAAAUCAACCGAGAUUCCCCCAGUAGCGGCGAGCGAACGGGGAGGAGCCCAGAGCCUGAAUCAGCAUGUGUGUUAGUGGAAGCGUCUGGAAAGACGCGCGAUACAGGGUGACAGCCCCGUACACAAAAGCGCAUGUGCUGUGAGCUCGAUGAGUAGGGCGGGACACGUGGUAUCCUGUCUGAAUAUGGGGGGACCAUCCUCCAAGGCUAAAUACUCCUGACUGACCGAUAGUGAACCAGUACCGUGAGGGAAAGGCGAAAAGAACCCCGGCGAGGGGAGUGAAAAAGAACCUGAAACCGUGUACGUACAAGCAGUGGGAGCACCCUUUGGGG
rnacentral:rRNA from 2 species